rnacentral:rRNA from 1 species
AAAACAGGCCCUACCACCCUGAACGCGCCCGAUCUUGUCUGAUCUCAGAAGCUAAGCAGGGUCGGGCCUGGUUAGUACUUGGAUGGGAGAAUUGAAAACAGAGACUC